AAACCAUGGUGUGGGCACUUAGCCUGGUAGUCACUGAAUCUCUCCCAUGCUUCACUAAAGCUCUCAAGGUUCUUCUGCUGGAAAGAUGAAAUUUCAUUCCUUAACUU